rnacentral:lncRNA from 1 species
UCGGUGCGUUAUUUACAAGCCAGUUGGGCUGCAGCAGAGCCGGAGGAUUGUGAGGGGCUCCCGGGCUUCGGAUGCGGGCGCGCGGCCACGGGCAGGAGGUCAGGCUGGACCCCAGGUUCUGGGGGACGACCCGCAGCAAUCCCGGCCCCUGCGCUGCGCCGCCCCCGCCCGCCGCACCCCGGGGCGCGCGCCGGCCACGGUCACCGGCGGCUGGAGCGCUGCCCUCGCCUCCCCCAUUGUUCCCACUGCCUUUUUCGCCUUUUGUUAUUUAUUUGCACCAGCAUUGUGUUGUCUCCGAAGCCGCCUCAUGACCAGCCGAGGGAUUUCACUUCGUCCUUGAGAGAGAGAGAGAGACAGAGAGCAAGAGAGAGCGAGAGAGGGAGCCAGAGGUUGGGGUGGGGGGGUGGAAGAGAGAGAGAGAGAGAAAGAGAGAGGGACAGGCGCGCACACACACACACACGCGCGCGCACACCCCACACAAACACACCCCGACACAGACACACACACACACAGAGUGCAAAAGGCGAGCCGCCCCAUCCCGUCUCCAGGGUCCUCCGGGGGCCCCCGCCCGCCGCUGCGCAUCCCGCGUCAGAGGAGCGAUUAACCAGACCCGACACUCUGACCUGUUGUGGUAUCAAGAUCUACUUCUGGAGGAUCCUAAGAAGUCUUGGACAAGCCUCCCACAUGUGGCAGGCCACUGGAUGGAGCAGGUGUAAUGAAGACUCCCAUUUCACAGACGAGGACACCACAUGAGGCAGAAGACCCCACUUGAGUGAGAUGAGAGUGCAGUCCAGUGGCUGCUGGCUUCUGAGAGGAUUCCAGGAAUGGUAGAGGAGUGGUGACUCAAAGAGGAGACUUUGGGUCCCAGCACAGACCCACUGCUGCCCUCAUGUAUUUGCCUUGCCUGUAAAAUGAAGUAAAUAAAAUAAGACUGGGGAGACGGCCGGGUCA